CUCUCUUUACCACAAACGGCGGUGAACAAACAAACACCCCGCGACCCAAAUGAUGAUGGUCAUAAGAAGAAGAAAGGAGAUCGAGAUCUUCAAAGGAGAGAAAUCUACUUCUGAAGGCGGUGAAAGAACUCGCCUCUGCCGAGGUUCGAACGGCCAGAACUGGUGCUGCACAUAAAAGGGACAAAAACAAGCAGCAAAAUCCAAAGACGAAAAAUUUAGAAAUUGUAGAUUUAGAUCUGAAAUUUUAGAUCUGAAACCGUUGGAAAAAAAAAAGGUUCAGAUCUGUCAGAGAGGAAGGAAAACAAAAACUAAACAUGAAGAAACCAAGAAAUUUCGGUUCUGGUGCUGAAAAAGUCACUGGGACCGAAACCCUAGCAACAACGGCGGCGACUUUGUUUUAUAGAGAGAAGGAGGAGCGUU